CUGGGUUUCAGAGGCCUGAGCAGAGGUCUGUCUCCCUGAAGACAUUGCCCCAGCCUCGUCCAGGGCAGCAGUCUGCUCUGCCCCUGGGGGCCCGACCGCGCUGCCCGCCAGAGGAGAGGCCUCCCCAGGGGGGGGUCAGACGCAAGCCGGCCUGGGGUCUGCCUCCCGCAGAAACCCUGCGCUCGCCGUCCCGAGCCCCUGCUGCCCAACCCCCCUCCACGAUCUCCGUCCUCUUGGUGAUUCUGCACCUGAGCGUGCGCGGACAGCCGAGUGGAUCGACCCGGCCUGAACCAGUAAGUCUAGAACGCGGAAGGCGUCUCGGCUGCCCCAAAGGAAAAGACGAGAGGUGGGGUGGAGCCCGCGGUCCUGUGGGGAAGGCGCUGGGCCACUGCAACCCCCAACCCCUAGGCUAGCUUCCCGCCGCCCUUCCGGGGACCCCGAUCGCCCCCAGCGCCAUGAGGAAGCUUCGGGUUGGCGCACCUGCGCUCUUGUCCAGGAAGUAGGCGAGGAGGCACCGCAGGACGGCCUGGUGGCAGAUGACCAGCACGUUCUCCUGCCGCUCCAGCUCCAUGAUCACGGGCUCCAGGCGCUGCACCAGGUCCUGGGGAAGCGAGGAACUGACUGAUGUCUGGACACAGUUUACAACGUGAGGGACCCUGAAAACGUCACGCUGAGAGAAGUUACACACAGUGGGGUCACAUGUUGUCGGACCCUGUUUCUGUCAAACGUGCACAGUGGGCAACCCCACAGAGACCGGAAGUAGACCCCGGGUUGCCAGGGCUUGGGGGAGGGGGAAUGACGGGUUGCUUUUUGGAAUGAUGGAAUGUUCUAGAAUUAGUGGGAAUGGUUGCACGGUACUGUGAAUAUACCUAAAAACCACUGAAUAAUAUACCUCAGUUAAUUUUA